rnacentral:misc_RNA from 1 species
AACUGAUACUACCUGCGGGAACCUGCGGAGGGAUCAUUGCUGGAACGCGCCCCAGGCGCACCCAGAAACCCUUUGUGAACUUAUACCUUACUGUUGCCUCGGCGCAUGCCGGCCCCCAGGGGCCCCUCGGAGACGAGGAGCAGGCACGCCGGCGGCCAAGCUAACUCUUGUUUUUACACUGAAACUCUGAGAAGAAAAAAACAAAAUGAAUCAAAACUUUUAACAACGGAUCUCUAGAUC